rnacentral:lncRNA from 1 species
GGCGACUUCACAUAAAAACCCACAUUUCCCUCUUCUCCUGUAACUCUGGGUGACCUGACCACACCGGGUCUGUGUUCCCAAGUGCCGCCGGAAGCUGACUGCAGCUGCCCCCUGUAGCCAGGGCAUGUGUGGGGACUGCUCUGACAACUGUCCCCCACUCCCGCAGUGCCCAGUGCCCGACACCCUGGGGAGUCACUGCCACCCCGGAGGGGCCACCAAUUCAACAUGUGACAACCCGAAGUGGAGGGAAGCAGAGGAGGAAGAGACGGAGGGGGACACACAGAUGGAAACUGAGCCCAAGAACCAAGAGUGAGCCUGAGGACCACAGCGAGGGACAGCGGGAGAGGGAGGCAGCAGGCAGACGGAGGCGAGGAGCGAUUCCUUGGGCAUCUUAAGUCACUCUCUGGCCCCUGAGCAGCUGUCUCGUUUAGGGAAAAGAGCCUGGGGAGGACAUGAAAAGGGUGAGGCCUGGACACGCUCCUUGGUCAUUUCCCAACACUGACGUCACCAUUCCUAGCCUGCCUAGGUCCUGGGGUGGCCCUCUGUGGGCGGGUGAGCACACACCUUGGCAGGAGGUGACGCAGCUGGACCACGCGUGGGAACUCCCGGCACAGCGGGCGGGCCUGGCUCAGCCCCACCUCCCCUGCCACUGGGUUCCUGGCAACCUCUGGUGGCUUCUUCCUCCUCCUUCUGCCGCCAGGAUGCAGGGGUCCCCACAGGCGAGAGGCUGAACUCAGAGCUGGCCAGGUGAGAAGCGAAGCACCGAACCACUGAAAUCUCCAGGAGACCACACUGGGUGGCAGAUGUGACAGCAACCCUCUGACCUCACGGGGCGCUGCCGUCCCAGCACAACCAGAACAAGGUGUGCCGAUGCCGGGAGCAGUGCAAACGGCCCUGGACGGGGAUGCAGAGGGCUCCGGAUCAGCCUGGGGCUCGCUGUGGGGCCCUGCUGUCAUCCCUUGGAAAUGGGUACACCCCCGGCAUAUUGAGGGGGAGGCACGCAGAGGAACAAACGUGAUAAAUGCAUCCAUGGGCUGCAAAUCGGGGGCCGCUCGGACAGCUGUCCCCCACUCCUGCAGUGCUCGCUGCCUGGCACUGUGAGGAGUCACUGCCACCCCCGAGGGGCCACCAAUUCAACAUGUGACAGGCCGAAGUGGAGGGAAGCAGAGGAGAGAGGAAGACAUAGAGGGAAACUGAACCCAAGACCCAAAAGUGAGCCGGAGGACCACAGCGGGAGAGGGAGGCAGCAGGCAGACGGAAGCGAGGAGACAGGGCGCAGAGGGGCUGCGGGGGGUGCUGGGCACACCUGGCUGAGGAAGGGACCAAAGGCCCAGAGGGUCCCAUAGUCUCAGCCUAGUACCUGUCCCCAAGCCCAGGGGCCCUGAUCACAAGGCAGCAACGUCUAUCCCACAGCUGUGAUAGGUGGGGCACAUCACACCCCGAGGGGCCCCGGCAUCCAUGAUCUCCCCUCCUGGAGGGUGGUCAGCCGCCAUCCUGGCCCCGGACUCCUUGGAAAUGCUCCACAAAGUGCCAGCUGGAAAUGUCACAGCACAGGGGGCCUUGGGAUGAGCCAGCCCCAAGGGGCCAUUCUUUCCUGUGGGUUUGGGGAACUCUUUUAAGAUCUGGAGUGCAGAUUCGGGUUCCAGUGCCUGCUCUGUGUCUUCCUAGCCUUAGUUUCACCUCCUGGGGCCUCAAUUUCUCCAUCAGUAAAAUGGGGACAGUAACCGUCAUAGCACCAGCUCUCAGGCUUCUCAGGGGAGCAGACAGUGAAGCAGUGCACAGAAGUCCUUGGUAAUCCAAGAAGCACCCUCUGGACGGAGCUGCCAGGACAGCCCGCAGCCACCCUGGACUGACCCGUGGGGCUGGGGGCAGCUGGGGAGGCCAAGCGUGUGCACACGGGCACCAGCAGCAGAGCAGACCCCCAGUCUCCUCUCUCAUACCCGAGAUGGGAGAUGAAGACUCCCCUGUGAGUUCCAAACUCCUCCAACCAGUUCUGGCAGGGAAGAAAGGGAGUCCUGGGAAAGCAACUCCCAUGCCUGGGGCUCGGCGGUGACCCACCCAGCCCCUCCCCGGCAGAGGCACUGGUUGCCCUGGAAACUCACCUCGGUGGUGGCCGGUGCUGGCAGAGGUGCCAGCCAAGGUGUCGGGCUUUGGAGAGCGGCACGACGGGCGACGGCCCUUCUCCUGGCGGUCACCACAGAGACACAGGCAAAGAACACAGAGCCCUUCCUCCCCCUGGGCACGGCAGGCCUGGCACAAACCUGGCCUGCUUCCCGGGCCAUGGUGGGGCGAGAGCCAGGUGGGGAGUGGGCCCUGCGGGAGGCCCUCUGCCAGUGUGCUCGUCGCCUGCGUGCCCUAGUGGAGUGGAGCACCCGAGUGCCUGGGCCUGGUGUCACCCGCGUGGCUGUCAUACCUGCUGCUGUGACAGGCAGGACCAGGAAUUCCCGCUUGUACCAGGCCAUGGGCCAGCCGAGGACGAGUGGAGAGGCUGCCCCAAGCUAGCCUAGCUUUCUCCCUUAAUUCUCCAAGUCCCCACUCCCAUUCCCCCUGUGUCGGGGGCCUGGAAACCACCACACAGAGCCAGAAAGGUGACAGAUACAAGUAACCAAAUCAAAACAGGGUUCGGUCAGCAGAGCCACCAGGCGGAUGUGAGUCUAGCCAGAGGCACUGGGAGGCAGGCAGGAGACCCCACUCACUUGUUCUGGAAGGCUUCCCUGCCCCCUAGACCUGAGCUCUUCCAUCCCUGGCACCCAGGCACGAGAUUUCCUUUCUUCUUUUUUUUUUUUUUUUUUUCCCUGAGAUGGAAUCUCGCUCUGUCGCCCAGGCUGGAGUGCAGUGGUGCGACCUCGGCUCACUAUAACCUCUACCUCCCGGUUCAAGUGAUUCUCCUGCCUCAGCCUCCCAGGUAUCUGGGAUUACAGGCACAUGCCACCAUGCUCGGCUAAUUUUUUUUUGAGACAUCGUCUCACUCUGUCACCCAGGCUGGAGUGCAGUGGCAUGGUCUCGGCUCACUGCACCUCUGCCUCCCGGGUUCAAGCGAUUCUCCUGCCUCAGCCUCCUGGGUAGCUGGGACUACAGGCGCAUGCCACCACACCCAGCUAAUUUUUGUAUUUUUAGUAGAGAUGGGGCUUCACUACAUUGGCCAGGCUGGUCUCAAACUCCUGACCUCGUGAUAUGCCUGCCUCAGCCUCCCAAAGUGCUGGGAUUACAGGCAUGAGCCACCACACUCAGCCACUUGGCUAAUUUUUUUGUAUUUUUAUUAGAGAUGGGGUUUUGCCAUGUUGGCCAGGCUGGUUCGAACUCCUGACCUCAGGUGAUCCACCUGCCUUGGCCUCCCAAAGUGGUAAGAUUACAGGUGUGAGCCACCGCACCCGGCCACAAGAUUUCAUUUUAACUGGGCGCAGGGGUGGGGGAUGCCAAUGGUUUGUUUCAUUAAGUAGGGUGGUAAAAAAUAAUAAUAUUACCACCACUACUCCCACCAUUCAGAAAAAACACCACCAAAGGUAACAAGAAAGGGCUGCCAUCAGAAAGAAGGGCAGGCUUGAAAUGAGUACAUUUGGCUUUUAGAAUAAUUUACUAGAGUGACUACUGGAGUUGUAAACAACCACCACCACCACCACAACAAUACAACAACUUACUACCUUGUCCCUGUUUUUCUCAUUUUGCUGCAAACCAGACAUUGGAAGCCAUCAGACGCAUCCAACACACCCGUCUGACAAGUGGAAAGACUGAGCCCCAGAGAGAGCAGGGACUUGCCCAAGAUCUCACAGGAAAAGUGUCUGUCCAGCUGCUCUGCAAAGCUUGCAGACGCUCCUUCCAUCCUGACCUGGGGGCCAGAACACUCAGAGCCCCAACCCCAAAGCCCAGAGAUGCCAGGGCGAAGUCAGAGGCCAAGAGUCUCAGCUACUUCCUUACCUUCCUGGGAACCUGGCCGGGUGGAUGCCCA